rnacentral:rRNA from 1 species
GCCGGGCGACGGUUGUCCCGGUUUAAGCGUGUAGGCUGGUUUUCCAGGCAAAUCCGGAAAAUCAAGGCUGAGGCGUGAUGACGAGGCACUACGGUGCUGAAGCAACAAAUGCCCUGCUUCCAGGAAAAGCCUCUAAGCAUCAGGUAACAUCAAAUCGUACCCCAAACCGACACAGGUGGUCAGGUAGAGAAUACCAAGGCGCUUGAGAGAACUCGGGUGAAGGAACUAGGCAAAAUGGUGCCGUAACUUCGGGAGAAGGCACGCUGAUAUGUAGGUGAAGCGACUUGCUCGUGGAGCUGAAAUCAGUCGAAGAUACCAGCUGGCUGCAACUGUUUAUUAAAAACACAGCACUGUGCAAACACGAAAGUGGACGUAUACGGUGUGACGCCUGCCCGGUGCCGGAGGGUUAAUUGAUGGGGUCAGCGCAAGCGAAGCUCUUGAUCGAAGCCCCGGUAAACGGCGGCCGUAACGAUAACGGUCCUAAGGUAGCGAAAUUCCUUGUCGGGUAAGUUCCGACCUGCACGAAUGGCGUAAUGAUGGCCAGGCUGUCUCCACCCGAGACUCAGUGAAAUUGAACUCGCUGUGAAGAUGCAGUGUACCCGCGGCAAGACGGAAAGACCCCGUGAACCUUUACUAUAGCUUGACACUGAACAUUGAGCCUUGAUGUGUAGGAUAGGUGGGAGGCUUUGAAGUGUGGACGCCAGUCUGCAUGGAGCCGACCUUGAAAUACCACCCUUUAAUGUUUGAUGUUCUAACGUGGACCCGUGAUCCGGGUUGCGGACAGUGUCUGGUGGGUAGUUUGACUGGGGCGGUCUCCUCCUAAAGAGUAACGGAGGAGCACGAAGGUUGGCUAAUCCUGGUCGGACAUCAGGAGGUUAGUGCAAUGGCAUAAGCCAGCUUGACUGCGAGCGUGACGGCGCGAGCAGGUACGAAAGCAGGUCAUAGUGAUCCGGUGGUUCUGAAUGGAAGGGCCAUCGCUCAACGGAUAAAAGGUACUCCGGGGAUAACAGGCUGAUACCGCCCAAGAGUUCAUAUCGACGGCGGUGUUUGGCACCUCGAUGUCGGCUCAUCACAUCCUGGAGCUGAAGUAGGUCCCAAGGGUAUGGCUGUUCGCCAUUUAAAGUGGUACGCGAGCUGGGUUUAGAACGUCGUGAGACAGUUCGGUCCCUAUCUGCCGUGGGCGCUGGAGAACUGAGGGGGGCUGCUCCUAGUACGAGAGGACCGGAGUGGACGCAUCACUGGUGUUCGGGUUGUCAUGCCAAUGGCACUGCCCGGUAGCUAAAUGCGGAAGAGAUAAGUGCUGAAAGCAUCUAAGCACGAAACUUGCCCCGAGAUGAGUUCUCCCUGACUCCUUGAGAGUCCUGAAGGAACGUUGAAGACGACGACGUUGAUAGGCCGGGUGUGUAAGCGCAGCGAUGCGUUGAGCUAACCGGUACUAAUGAACCGUGAGGCUUAAUCG